GAUUACGAACUGUCCCCUUCUAAAGGGAAGAUGCAAUCCAGAGAGCAGCAGCAGCAGCACCGACCCCAAUUCUGAGUGGUCCAAGAUCUCUCACAUUCCUGGGGUUGUCAUUGAUGGGCAGCUAAUCUCCAUUUGAAGCUCGUAAAUAAUGUCAGUUUCCCCAUUAAAAGCUACUAGUUUUUAGUGGGUAGCAUAAACUUUCCCAAUUCGGUGCUGUGAAUUAGAUACAUCGGAACAAAAGUCUUCAGCUAUCAUGGUUUCCUGUUAUAUGGUGAUCAGAUAAGUACCUACACAUUCUUGGCACUUGCAAAAAUGAUGGUCUGUUUGCUAGGCGAGGGCUUUCUAGCUUCAAAUAGAUCCAUCAAGGCACUCCCAAAAGGAAUUUUUCUCCUCCUUUGUAUGGAGACGGUUUAGGCAAUACCAAGUUUAGUAUUAGAGUCUACAAUGAACCAUUUUGAAAAACACAUGGAAUAGUAUAGAGGGCUGAGAAUGUAAAUACG